rfam:Oceanospirillum multiglobuliferum strain ATCC 33336 NODE_7_length_161120_cov_776.666, whole genome shotgun sequence.
GCCGGUAUAGCUCAGUCGGUAGAGCAACUGACUUGUAAUCAGUAGGUCCCGGGUUCGACUCCUGGUGCCGGCA